rnacentral:lncRNA from 1 species
CGAGAGUUGUUUGAUUUUAUUUCAUUCUUGGGUAAGGUGGUGACUAAAUAUGAUAUUAUGGUUGAUCUAAUCAAGGUAGUGAUUGUUUAUAAUAAGGCUGGAACUAUUUCUCCUAUUAAGAUUUUGAGUUUUGUUAUGUUAGCGGGCUAUUAUCAACAUUUGUGUAGAGUUACUACUUUAAGAGGCUCUUUUGACUAGUUGAUUUAGAAGAAGUUUCUUUUUUAAUGGUUAGAUAAUUGUGAUGAGAGCUUGUAAAAGCUCAAGGAA